CGUUUGGUAUCAAGUAUUUUAGCGAUAAGUCUCAUCAAGCUGAAAAACCAAAAUCAUGUGUUUAAUUUUUAUUAGCUAAUGACUCGAAACAAAACUCGGCGAGUUUAAAGUAAAUGUCUAUUUUCCCAUUUGCUUGUAUUACCCAGAAGGACUGCACCCAUUCUAUAUAUUGGCCAACAUUGCCAGUAGUAAAACUACGUUGACGGAACAUAUUCUCUUCUAUACAAGUCGAAUUGCACACACGAAGGCGGACGAAGUACGAGAUCAGAGGCAAAAACAAUGUUGGUGCCACAAUGGACUCUAUGGAGCUAGAGACAGCGUGAUCACGCCGAUUUCACAUUGCAAAUGAAAAUAUAUAAGACGUGUCUUGGAUAGCGGUAUGUUGGUUCUAUGCGCCGUCGCAGCUGUUUAAAGGCAAACGUUGACGGAAAAUCGCCAAAUGAAACGCUAUAACAUUCUCUACAUGGCGUCCAUCAACACAAUGGAACGCCAUGACAGCCGAUUCUGUGUACCAGAUUGAACCGAUGGAACCCUUCAUCGGCCAGCAAUGGGGAGUCGUAUAGGCCGAUAUCCCUUCUCUCAGCAGACGAUGUCAUGAAAAUUUUGCAAAAUGAAACUCCCAAUGCAAAUUGGGUUCCGAGUUCCAACAUUACGGGAAAGGAAAAACUUCAGCAGCAUCUUCCAAUUGUAGUUGAGCAAAAACGUAAAGCUACCACGCUGAAGAAUAAAAUUUGCCAAAAAAACAUCAGCAAGGACAAGAUGCAUUCCAAAAGCAGAUCAAAUGUUUUCUUCUACGGCAGCAAAACAAAUGUGAGAAACACACCAUCUACAUACUAGCAGCAAAUAAUAACAAUAAUAAUAAUAAUAGUACCAACCAAAGAGGGUGAGAAUAAGAAGACGAAUAGUCCGGGCGAAAUACGGGAUGCCAAGAAGCCACUUUUAAAUACCAUACAUGUAAAAAUCAUGUGUUUUCAACGUACGAUAUUUUCUUUUUCUUUCAUUCCAACUUUCGGUCGAAAGUAGAAUAAGAAGAAGAAUAUCGUUCAAUCCAUAGUAAAUUUUCAAGGUUUUUAGUUAUUUCAAUUGUAACUACUUUUCCAUGGUGAAGAAUUUUUAACUACCCCAAUAAUAAUGUACUUGCACUUAUUGUACUUGAAGAAACAUAGAAGCCUUUUGGACUCAUUUAUUUACGAAGAAACCUAGAAGCCUUUUGGAAUAUUCAGUUUGUAAUAUUUUCUUGUCAGUUUAGAAAAUUUUCAUUCUCAUUUUGAAGCUUGAACAUCUAAGUUGUGUUUUAAUUAUUUCGGAAAAAUUUUGUGCACAUUUUUUUUUAUUAAUUUGAAUAUUGAACGGACUGUUUUGAUUGAAUUAUUAAAUAAAUUAUUUUCUCGCUAAUUUUUCUUUAACCGUUUCAAUUUUGUGGAAUCCAUUGAUUUGGUCAAUUUUAGUGGUCGAAAACCGCUACCCGGAGUUUUUACUCCGGGAUUAUUGCUUUUUUAUAUAUUGCCGAAAAGGAAUCUUAAAUUUCACGCCAGACUAAACAUUUAUGGACCACAUCUUUAAUUAAUUAAAAUAUUAGCCAGAAUCUCGUUCUUAUAUAUAUCUGGAUGG
rnacentral:sRNA from 1 species